CGCUCCGCCCUCCUUCUCCUCCCCGUUCGCGGGAAGCCUGAAAAAAGGAGCGGGCAGGAAAAGAAGCUGCAGUGAUGCCGUUACAGAAAAGGGCAGCUUGGCUUAAGAGAGAGGGACGGACAACGUGGCAUUUAAAACAAACACACUCAGAGAAAGAUUCUCGGAGUUGCUGCAAAGUUCCAACUCUGGUGGCACGUGUUCAGAAAGAGGUUAUUUUGAGGCUUGGGCCACAAAAGGGAAAGCUGAAGCCAAGUCUCUAAGCAACCAAUCCUGG